AAUGAACGCUGGCGGCGUGCUUAACACAUGCAAGUCGUACGAGAAACCCCGGCUUGCCGGGGGAGUAAAGUGGCGCACGGGUGAGUAACGCGUGGGUAAUCUACCCUCGAAUUGGGGAUAACACACCGAAAGGUGUGCUAAUACCGAAUAAGACCACGACCUCCACGGGGGUUGCGGUCAAAGAUGGCCUCUGCUUGCAAGCUGUCGUUUGAGGAUGAGCCCGCGUACCAUUAGCUUGUUGGUGGGGUAAUGGCCUACCAAGGCAACGAUGGUUAGCUGGUCUGAGAGGAUGGCCAGCCACACUGGAACUGGAACACGGUCCAGACUCCUACGGGAGACAGCAGUGAGGAAUUUUGCGCAAUGGGGGAAACCCUGACGCAGCAACGCCGCGUGAGUGAAGAAGGCCUUCGGGUUGUAAAGCUCUGUCAAGUGGGAAGAACCUUUUUCGGCCGAAUACGCCGAGAAACUGACGGUACCGCUGAAAGAAGCACCGGCUAACUCCGUGCCAGCAGCCGCGGUAA
rnacentral:rRNA from 1 species